GACGAACGCUUGCGGCGUGCUUAACACAUGCAAGUCGAACGGAAAGGCCCUGCUUUUGUGGGGUGCUCGAGUGGCGAACGGGUGAGUAACACGUGAGUAACCUGCCCUUGACUUUGGGAUAACUUCAGGAAACUGGGGCUAAUACCGGAUAGGAGCUCCUGCUGCAUGGUGGGGGUUGGAAAGUUUCGGCGGUUGGGGAUGGACUCGCGGCUUAUCAGCUUGUUGGUGGGGUAGUGGCUUACCAAGGCUUUGACGGGUAGCCGGCCUGAGAGGGUGACCGGCCACAUUGGGACUGAGAUACGGCCCAGACUCCUACGGGAGGCAGCAGUGGGGAAUAUUGCACAAUGGGCGGAAGCCUGAUGCAGCAACGCCGCGUGCGGGAUGACGGCCUUCGGGUUGUAAACCGCUUUCGCCUGUGACGAAGCGUGAGUGACGGUAAUGGGUAAAGAAGCACCGGCUAACUACGUGCCAGCAGCCGCGGUGAUACGUAGGGUGCGAGCGUUGUCCGGAUUUAUUGGGCGUAAAGGGCUCGUAGGUGGUUGAUCGCGUCGGAAGUGUAAUCUUGGGGCUUAACCCUGAGCGUGCUUUCGAUACGGGUUGACUUGAGGAAGGUAGGGGAGAAUGGAAUUCCUGGUGGAGCGGUGGAAUGCGCAGAUAUCAGGAGGAACACCAGUGGCGAAGGCGGUUCUCUGGGCCUUUCCUGACGCUGAGGAGCAAAAGCGUGGGGAGCGAACAGGCUUAGAUACCCUGGUAGUCCACGCUGUAAACGGUGGGUACUAGGUGUGGGGUCCAUUCCACGGGUUCCGUGCCGUAGCUAACGCUUUAAGUACCCCGCCUGGGGAGUACGGCCGCAAGGCUAAAACUCAAAGGAAUUGACGGGGCCCCGCACAAGCGGCGGAGCAUGCGGAUUAAUUCGAUGCAACGCGUAGAACCUUACCUGGGUUUGACAUGGAUCGGGAGUGCUCAGAGAUGGGUGUGCCUCUUUUGGGGUCGGUUCACAGGUGGUGCAUGCCUGUCGUCAGCUCGUGUCGUGAGAUGUUGGGUUAAGUCCCGCAACGAGCGCAACCCUUGUUCACUGUUGCCAGCACGUUAUGGUGGGGACUCAGUGGAGACCGCCGGGGUCAACUCGGAGGAAGGUGGGGAUGACGUCAAGUCAUCAUGCCCCUUAUGUCCAGGGCUUCACGCAUGCUACAAUGGCUGGUACAGAGAGUGGCGAGCCUGUGAGGGUGAGCGAAUCUCGGAAAGCCGGUCUCAGUUCGGAUUGGGGUCUGCAACUCGACCUCAUGAAGUCGGAGUCGCUAGUAAUCGCAGAUCAGCAACGCUGCGGUGAAUACGUUCCCGGG
rnacentral:rRNA from 1 species